rnacentral:rRNA from 1 species
CCUACGGGUGGCAGCAGUGAGGAAUAUUGGUCAAUGGGCGCGAGCCUGAACCAGCCAAGUCGCGUGCGGGAAGACGGUCCUAUGGAUUGUAAACCUCUUUUGUUGGGGAGCAAAAGACGCUACGCGUGGCCUUCCGCGUGUACCCGAAGAAAAAGCAUAGGCUAACUACGUGCCAACAGCCACGGUGAUACGUAGGUGGCAAGCGUUGUCCGGAUUUAUUGGGUGUAAAGGGCGUGUAGCCGGGCUGACAAGUAAGAUGUGAAAUCCGGGGGCUCAACCCCCGAACUGCAUUUGAAACUGUUGGUCGUGAGUAUCGGAGAGGCAGGCGGAAUUCCUAGUGUAGCGGUGAAAUGCGUAGAUAUUAGGAAGAACACCAGUGGCGAAGGCGGCCUGCUGGACGACAACUGACGGUGAGGCGCGAAAGCGUGGGGAGCAAACAGGAUUAGAUACCCUGGUAGUC